GUGAAUCAUCAAAUUUUUGAACGCAAAUUGCACUCUCUUCUGAUAGUAUGACUGUUUGAGGUUGAGCCUAAAAAAAAUCAACAUAUUCACUUUUUCUCUUUGACAUUGGUCUGAAGUUUUGUCAUCUUAAACCGUUGGGUUUUAAGCGGCUUAAAUUUUUCUUUACUAUUCAACGAACGUUUCUACUUUUUACUUCUUAUACGUUUAAGGUAUCAAUCUUUAUUAGACUUGGCCGUUGCAUCGGUUCUCGUCCAGAAAUAUUUCGUUAACUAACCCC
rnacentral:misc_RNA from 1 species